AACACUGUUAACCUGCGGUACCUGCGGAGGGAUCAUUACCGAGUGUGGUCCCAUAAGGGGCGCCUCCCGUCCUUUGCAGGGCCUUUAGGGGCUUUUUGACUUUGCUUCGGCGGGCUUGCCCCGCCGGAACACCCUCAAGAAAAUCUUUAUGAACCGUUUGUCUGAGUUGCUUGCGAAUAAAAACAAAACUUUCAGCAACGGAUCU
rnacentral:misc_RNA from 1 species